rnacentral:rRNA from 2 species
UUUACGGAGAGUUUGAUCCUGGCUCAGGAUGAACGCUGGCGGCGUGCUUAACACAUGCAAGUCGAACGGUGAAGCCAAGCUUGCUUGGUGGAUCAGUGGCGAACGGGUGAGUAACACGUGAGCAACCUGCCCUGGACUCUGGGAUAAGCGCUGGAAACGGUGUCUAAUACUGGAUAUGAGCUCCUUCCGCAUGGUGGGGGUUGGAAAGAUUUUUCGGUCUGGGAUGGGCUCGCGGCCUAUCAGCUUGUUGGUGAGGUAAUGGCUCACCAAGGCGUCGACGGGUAGCCGGCCUGAGAGGGUGACCGGCCACACUGGGACUGAGACACGGCCCAGACUCCUACGGGAGGCAGCAGUGGGGAAUAUUGCACAAUGGGCGGAAGCCUGAUGCAGCAACGCCGCGUGAGGGAUGACGGCCUUCGGGUUGUAAACCUCUUUUAGCAGGGAAGAAGCGUGAGUGACGGUACCUGCAGAAAAAGCGCCGGCUAACUACGUGCCAGCAGCCGCGGUAAUACGUAGGGCGCAAGCGUUAUCCGGAAUUAUUGGGCGUAAAGAGCUCGUAGGCGGUUUGUCGCGUCUGCUGUGAAAUCCCGAGGCUCAACCUCGGGUCUGCAGUGGGUACGGGCAGACUAGAGUGCGGUAGGGGAGAUUGGAAUUCCUGGUGUAGCGGUGGAAUGCGCAGAUAUCAGGAGGAACACCGAUGGCGAAGGCAGAUCUCUGGGCCGUAACUGACGCUGAGGAGCGAAAGGGUGGGGAGCAAACAGGCUUAGAUACCCUGGUAGUCCACCCCGUAAACGUUGGGAACUAGUUGUGGGGACCAUUCCACGGUUUCCGUGACGCAGCUAACGCAUUAAGUUCCCCGCCUGGGGAGUACGGCCGCAAGGCUAAAACUCAAAGGAAUUGACGGGGACCCGCACAAGCGGCGGAGCAUGCGGAUUAAUUCGAUGCAACGCGAAGAACCUUACCAAGGCUUGACAUACACCAGAACACCGUAGAAAUACGGGACUCUUUGGACACUGGUGAACAGGUGGUGCAUGGUUGUCGUCAGCUCGUGUCGUGAGAUGUUGGGUUAAGUCCCGCAACGAGCGCAACCCUCGUUCUAUGUUGCCAGCACGUAAUGGUGGGAACUCAUGGGAUACUGCCGGGGUCAACUCGGAGGAAGGUGGGGAUGACGUCAAAUCAUCAUGCCCCUUAUGUCUUGGGCUUCACGCAUGCUACAAUGGCCGGUACAAAGGGCUGCAAUACCGUGAGGUGGAGCGAAUCCCAAAAAGCCGGUCCCAGUUCGGAUUGAGGUCUGCAACUCGACCUCAUGAAGUCGGAGUCGCUAGUAAUCGCAGAUCAGCAACGCUGCGGUGAAUACGUUCCCGGGUCUUGUACACACCGCCCGUCAAGUCAUGAAAGUCGGUAACACCUGAAGCCGGUGGCCCAACCCUUGUGGAGGGAGCCGUCGAAGGUGGGAUCGGUAAUUAGGACUAAGUCGUAACAAGGUAGCCGUACCGGAAGGUGCGGCUGGAUCACCUCCUUU